rnacentral:rRNA from 1 species
UUUUUAUUGAGAGUUUGAUCCUGGCUCAGGACGAACGCUGGCGGCGUGCCUAAUACAUGCAAGUCGAACGCAUUUCUUUUCAUCGGAGCUUGCUCCACCGAAAAGAAAUGAGU